rnacentral:misc_RNA from 1 species
GAAAUGCGAUACUUGGUGUGAAUUGCAGAAUCCCGUGAACCAUCGAGUCUUUGAACGCAAGUUGUGCCCGAAGCCAUUAGGUUUAGGGCACGUCUGCCUGGGCAUCUCACGUUGGGUCGCUCGUGCCCCCUCUCCCCCCCUCGAAGGAGGAAAGAAGGGCUGCGGGCGGAUGUUGGCCCCUCACGUGCGGUCGGCCUAAAAGCGAGUCCCCCGCGACGGGCGACGCAUCGCGACGAGUGGUGGUUGACAAACCGUUGCGUCGCCUCGCGCGCGUCCGCGCCGUCUCUGGAGGCCUGUCGUGACCUUACCGCGCCGCCACCAAGGCGCUCCAAUCACGACCCCAAGUCAAGCGGGAUAUCCCACUGAGUUUAA